rnacentral:lncRNA from 1 species
AAAAUUAUGGUUAUGCUGCUCCUGCUCCUGCUGCCGCUGCACCGCAGGAUCCUAACUUAUAUGGCAGUUAUCCUGCAGGGUAUGCCAAUUACCAACCACCACAGCAACAGCAGCAAAUAGGAUAUAGUUAAGAUUUUGCACCUUUCCUUUGUAAUCGAUAUGAUACCUCAUGAGUUGCUUAUCUCUCAUCUUGUGUCUCGCGGAAAUCGUACUCUGCUUCUUUUUUCUCCUUUUUGAUUGCCGGAUGACAUUUGUGUUUUAUGGAAACUGUGUUUUGUACCCAUAAAAUUGUUUGUUGAGUACUUAUAUUUUAUCUUAGACUUUGAUGAAAUGGUCUAUCUAUUGUUUGCCACAUGGUUUUGCAGUGUAUGCAUUUUAUUUUUAAUACUCAGCUGAUGAUAAGUAAACUGCUAGUGUGUGUACUGAGGUCAUUAACAAAAGAUUUGCAGACAAAAGAUUUAAUAUUUGUUCCAAAAAUCUCUAAUGUGAAUAACGGAAACACAUUUGUUGUUCCAAAAAUCUCUAAUGGAAACACAUCUGUUGUUCCAAAAAUCUCUAAUGGAAACACAUUUGUUGUUCCAAACAAUGUCGCCCCGAGUGUUCAUUAGAUAAAAGGUGGAUAUUCCUUUUAGUUGGGUACUAGAGGUUUCAUAGCUACAUGAUUGGAAAUAGUGAAAAAAGAUUCCUUAAAGCGACUUUCUUAAACACUUCAACUAACAAGUGUGGAUGUUUAUUUUUUCUCACUUUAUGCUUUUUUUCACUGUUGGUAUCAAAGUGCAGUUAUAUUUCUAUUAUUCAAUUUUCGUUAAUAAUUGAGAACCUGAUCCUAGACUUAUUUUUGUGAAGUCGGUUCUGCAUUUAUUUGCUCUCUAAUUAUACUGUUCAUGCCUGGUUAGUUAUAACAUAAAACUAGUCAGGUUAUUGUCAAACGCAAAAGGUGAAUCACAAGAUAAAUAGUGAAUAAAGCCAGAAAGUCCAAUCUGAAAUUUAGACUUAAUUAAAUUUGUGUACUUCAAAAGGAUUAUUUCAUUAGCCAAAUGUGAUGUGAUUGGUUAUACCAAAAAAUGAAGGGGAUGCAACUUACUACAAUACUACACAAAUCAUGAGAAAAAUUUAAAAUACAAUACAAAAUUUAAAUUUUAACAUAAAUUUAUACAAAAAGUAUAUAUUGCGUUAUAAAUUUGCAAUAUUUAUUAAGAGGUAUGAAUCAUUUCUCAUGGAGACACAAUUUGAUGAUCACAAUUUACCCCCAAAAAAUGCUUGUAAUUAUAACGAAAAACAAUUUUUUUCCAUAUACUAUAUUAUUUGUCUUAUGUCAAAUUGUCAACUAAGCCAUCUUAGACCAUCCAUAAAGGCAAAUAUUAUCUUCAUUUUCUUAGUUUCCUUAUAUUAUUUCAUUAUUUUAUAAUUUAUUAUAACUCCCUGUAAAAUAAGAACAAUUUUUUCUCAUAAUGACAAAUCAUUCUUAUUUUUAUUUGGGUCACACAACAUCUAUCUCUCUUCUCCUUUUCUAUUAGUUAAGAUCAACUACGAAUUGUUCUCAGAAAAUAAGAAUGACAUAGUGAAGAAAAGAAUAAGAAUAUUCUUAUUACCUUAAGAGGUAAAUUUAUUUACUGGUUGGUGUUACUCUGCUUCCUUACCAUUUGCAUGUUUCCAAUUUUGAUCCAUGCCUUGUUUCUCUCAGGCUCAGCCAGAUGCAAACCAGUGGAAUGGUGCCGGUGCUGGUGGAUAUUACGGAUAUCCUCAGCAAGGUUAUGAAAAUUAUGGUUAUGCUGCUCCUGCUCCUGCUGCCGCUGCACCGCAGGAUCCUAACUUAUAUGGCAGUUAUCCUGCAGGGUAUGCCAAUUACCAACCACCACAGCAACAGCAGCAAAUAGGAUAUAGUUAAGAUUUUGCACCUUUCCUUUGUAAUCGAUAUGAUACCUCAUGAGUUGCUUAUCUCUCAUCUUGUGUCUCGCGGAAAUCGUACUCUGCUUCUUUUUUCUCCUUUUUGAUUGCCGGAUGACAUUUGUGUUUUAUGGAAACUGUGUUUUGUACCCAUAAAAUUGUUUGUUGAGUACUUAUAUUUUAUCUUAGACUUUGAUGAAAUGGUCUAUCUAUUGUUUGCCACAUGGUUUUGCAGUGUAUGCAUUUUAUUUUUAAU